GCCUGGGUGGCUCAGUGGUUGAGCAUCUGCCUUCAGCUCAGGUCAUGAUCCUGGGGUCCUGGGAUCAAGUCCUAUAUCAGGCU
rnacentral:tRNA from 1 species